GGGUUGAGGGGUCGUGCAGGGGCUUGAAGGGCAUCGCCGUGCACGGGCUGAGGGGCAUCGCUACCCAACGGCGGGAAAUAAGCACUGGAGGCUUUUCUGACGAAGUUUGUGUCCCGUUUAUGCCCAGGGCCAGUCACUUUUUCCGAACUCCUGCAAGUCUUGGGUGGGUCGUGGUAAAGAUGAACCAGGGGAUCGGGAUUCGCUGCGUUGGUCUGAGGAAAGACUUUGCGUUCAGGAAACUGGCCCGGUGAGUUAUUUCAUUCCCUUGGGAGCCGAAGGAGCACUUCCCUGGGCUGUGAAAGUACAGGGAGCGUCAUGGCCACGGGCAGGCACACAGCAGCUCUGCUGGCCGGACACACCAAAGUUAUUAACCGGGGGGAAAUUAUAUCACCACCAUGUGAUUUCUUUAAAAAUCAUCCAGCCAAGGAAGUCACUCUGCUUAUGGUAAUAAGAAAUGAGUACAUCAUCUGAUGUUCUUUUCAUAAGCCUAAUUUAACUGCUUGAAGGGAGAUGGGCUGCUUUAAAAACAACUACUUUAAUUAGCUUGUACCAUUAAAUGGUUUGAAUUUAAAUGCUUUUCUUUGGUGGGGGGAGCUUCAUUGGUAAUGAGAUAAAUUUUAGAUUGACCAUAUAAACACACCUAGCAUGUGUUUAAGCUUUCUGUUUCUCAUGUGUUGAGUCAGUUUUUACGUGCAUAAGGUCUGGAUCAGAUGAGCUACUGAAACAGAGCACAACUGUGCUGACAAGAAAAGAGCUGUGCCCAUUUGUGCCACCUGAACAUGUGUCUCCUCUGUGGUCAAAUGUACAUGUGAUUUAUUUUUAAGUAGAGGAUGGGAUGGCUUCUUGGUCAGAUACAUGACUUAUUGUCAGAAAUGCAAGUUUUUAUUUCUGCCCUGGUCCCAACUUCUUGUGCAACCUGCAGCAAGCACAUCAUUCCCUUACUCACUGUCUAUAAAUUGAGUAUUAUUAAUUCAGUGAUGCCUAAAAUGGAAUAAAUACUUAGAUUAGUCAGUGUGCAGUGUCAGUCAGAGUAUGAAAAUAAAUACAUUUUAAAGCUGCCAGUUCCUCAGCCAGGUUAAGUUGGAAUGGUUUCCCUAAACCCCUGGAGGUAUCAGGGUAGGUUCAUAUGAGCAGAAGGUCUGAUCCAUAUGCCUCUUGGGAGGUCUUCUGUAGUUCAGCCUUUACAAAAAUACCAGGGUUUGCACAUUGGAGAUGCUGUAAAGGCUGGAAGGAAUCUGUAAGUGUUACUUAUUAAUGGUCUCUAUUAUUAGAAGGAAAAAAGCUUGUGUUAAAUUUUUCAAAUUGGCAGUACAUUUAAAGCUGAAGCAAAUUUGAUUCUGCUAGCAGCACAGAAGUGAAAUAGGUCACCAUCACUACUAUGGGGGGUUUUUUCCUUCUUUGCUUUGACAACACUUUGCCAAACUUGAGGAGAAAAAUUAUACACAAAUGUGUACUUUAAUUAAAAGAAAAUCUAUGUCUGUAAAA